GGCCGAUUAGCUCAGUUGGUUAGAGUGUGGUGCUAAUAAUGCCAAGGUUGCCGGUUCAAUCCCCACAUGGGCCA